rnacentral:rRNA from 1 species
UACAGAGGGGGCAAGCGUUGUUCGGAAUUACUGGGCGUAAAGGGCGCGUAGGCGGCCUGCUAAGUCGAACGUGAAAUCCCUGAGCUCAACCCAGGAACUGCGUCCGAUACUGGUUGGCUUGAAUCCGGGAGAGGGACGUGGAAUUCCAGGUGUAGCGGUGAAAUGCGUAGAUAUCUGGAGGAACACCGGUGGCGAAGGCGACGUCCUGGACCGGCAUUGACGCUGAGGCGCGAAAGCCAGGGGAGCAAACGGG